rnacentral:rRNA from 1 species
UACGUAGGGGGCGAGCGUUGUCCGGAUUUAUUGGGCGUAAAGAGCUCGUAGGCGGUUUGGUAAGUUGGAUGUGAAAUCUCCAGGCUCAACUUGGAGGGGUCAUUCGAUACUGCCAUGACUAGAGUUCGGUAGGGGAGUGUGGAAUUCCUGGUGGAGCGGUGAAAUGCGCAGAUAUCAGGAGGAACACCUAUGGCGAAGGCAGCUCGCUGGGACGGUACUGACGCUGAGGCGCGAAAGCGUGGGGAGCAAACAGG